rnacentral:lncRNA from 1 species
AUGGUAGAAGUCAAAUCUCCAAGGUGCCCCUGCACAUUCCAUUGUCAAUUUCUAAGCACGGAGCUAAGAGGAUUAGCACGGGGCUUCAUUUCCACCCAACGCAGAAGCACCAGUGAAGGCACCAGGCAUGCAAAACGGAUCAGCGGGGAGCCAAUCAGGCCUGCCACAGCCGUGCCUCCGGGGAACUCGCGGGGUUUACCGAGCCAUGCGCCCU